AAGCUCGAUGAUGAGGAGAUUAUCUCCUACAUUCUUGCUGGCUUGGACCGGGAUUUUGAUUCCGUCGUCUCCCAGGUGUCCGGUCGUGAUGGUCCAGU
rfam:Sorghum bicolor cultivar BTx623 chromosome 6, whole genome shotgun sequence.